AUUUAUAUAGUUUAAAUAAAACAUUACAUUUUCAUUGUAAAAAUAAAAAAAAAUUUUUUAUAAAUA
rnacentral:tRNA from 1 species